UGUCUGGGUCAUUUCCACAUGCUUUAUUCCAGCAAUCAAAAUAAUUAAAAACAUCUCAAAUUAUUAUUAUACACAUACAAAAUAGGUACAGAGUCUCUUGCUUCCUCCCACCCUGGGGCAAAAACUGCUUUGUGCUUUGGGAAGCUGUUAUCUGAAAACCACGGAGUACAGAGGUGCAGGAGGGAGGGCUUCAGAGGAGAAGUCAGAGAGGCAGGGUGGGGAGAGGGAGGAGAGGGGCAGGCUGGAGCCAGCCCUUUCCCCCACAUUAAAUAGCACCGUUAGAAAAAAAAUUCACGAGUCCCCAUCUGCAAGGAAGACCGAAAAGAAGGAAAGAAAGAGCUGAAGAGCAGAAGACUUUGAACAAAAAGGAACAUUUGUUGGCCUGGGGGCACCCCAACUUUUUUAGCACCAGAAAUUCCUCCUCCACCCCCCCCACAUUGAUGUAGCACCUUUGGUAUCAAAUGGGGUGGUCGCUGCCCCCGCCCUCACAGUCGCUGGUGACACACAAGACAAGAACGAGGUAGUCAGUCUUUAGCAACACAGUUACACAAGGAACAGAACAUCUCUCCCACCCAGCCGGGCGCACAAGGGGCUCCAGGCGCCUCCCCAAGUCCGACGUCUCUGCUCUGCGGUGCCGUGGCCCUGCCCCUCUCUCGAGACCCCCGGGAAGGGCCCUCUCAAAAACAAAGUGGGGUGUGUUGCAGAGGCCUUGGGGAUGCCAGAUGGGUGGGCUCCUUUGGCAGUCUGGGAACCCCGGAUCUCCCCAGCACUGGGUGUAUCAGGCAGCCGGAGUGGGCUGGGAGUUGGAGGCCACUUAGAUGUUUCAGCAUUGCCUUUGGUUGCUGAGCAGACAAUGCACUGUUUCUUGUGCCUUUGCGGGCGACUUGGAUUUGGGGAACAGUGGAAGAGAGGCCCCAAGAAGGGGUGGAAAAAAGAGCAGAAAGGGCAGCAUUGGGGUAUCAUAAGCCCAACGGGCAGAAAAAGACUUACCCCCACAGGGUCUUCAAGCAAGUGGACCAAGCUUCCUUUUUUAAAAACUUAUUUAUUUAUUCUUUUUUUUUUUUCCCGUAAGGUUCAAUGCAUUUUUGGUUUUUGGUCAUGUUCAGUUGGUCAAAGAAAAAAAAACUAAGUUCGAGAGAUGAAUGUAAAGGAAAAAAAAAAUGUUUUCCAAAGUCCAUGUGAAAUUGUCUCCCAUUUUUUUGGCUUUUGGGGGAUUCAGUUUGGGUUGUUUUUCUGUUUCCGGGAAGGGGAGUGGGCUGGGUGGGAGGGAGCCAGGGUGGAGUGGAGGGGGUUUACACGAAGCAGACAGGGCUAACGUCAAAGCCGAAUUCCUGGUCUGGGGAGCCAAUGUCCAAGGGGGCCACGUCGAUGAUGGGGAGGCGGGAGGUCUUGGUGGUUCUGUAUUCGAUGACUGUCUUGCCCCAGGCUCCUGUGUGACUCUGGGGUAAGGGAGGCAAGGGACGGGUCAUUACCAAGGGCAGAGAUGGAGCCAGCAAGCCGGGUCACCCUGAGAGCCAAAACCUAGAGCCAAGGGUCCCGGGGACUCACCGUGCAGCCGUCCUCCAGGGCCACGUAAGUGAAGCGGCUGUUGCCCUCGCCCCGGAGCUCGAUGUCAUUGGAGCCCUGGAGGAGCAGAGACUUCUUGAGGUUUCCGGUCUGCUGAUCCAGGUAGGCCACGCUGUUCUUGCAGUGGUAGGUGAUGUUCUGGGAGGCCUCGGUGGACAUCAGGCGCAGGAAGGUCAGCUGGAUGGCCACGUCAGCAGGUUCGGAGUCUGGGCUGCCAUACUUGAACUGCAGGGGAGCCGGAGGUCCACAAAGCUGAACAUGUCUAGACCCUAGACAUGUAGACUCUUGCGGCUGGGGUGGGGGGUUAGCGUCGGCUCAUGCGUGGCCUCACACUCCGCGUGCCUCCUGUUCCGACCCCGGGGAGAGACUCCGGUCUGCUCCCCACGGCUGGCCCGGGCCCCUUUUUAUAUCAUCCUGGCAGAGCACUGGGAGGAACCCUGGCCGGUGGAGAGGGGGAGCAGGCCGCCCGGCCCCCCAGCCAAUCAGAGCUGCCUGGCCCGGCCCCCAAUUUGGACCGGAGAGGGGGAGGAGGAGGGAAGGAAGGAAGGAAAGGGAGUCCACCCGAGUUCUCCCCCCUUUGCCACUCAGCUCCCCAGCCCCCAGCCCAGCCUGGGCCAGAGAUGCUGCCGCUGGGGUUUCACGGGGUGGGCAGGGGUGCCCUUGGUGCUUUCUUGCUGGGACCUCCAAUCUGAGAGCAUGGAAUUGGGGAAGGGUUAGGAGUAAGUGGAAGAGCCCCCCC
ensembl:lncRNA